CUUCCUGCUCUCCUCCCCAUCAUCUAAAUCAGAGGAGCAGAAAUCCAGUUGUUUCUUUCAGAAGAACUUAUGAAAACUAUGACUCUCAAUUCAGGUAUUUAUUGAGAGCUAUUACAUACCAGCAACUGCACUGGGUCCAACAGAACAGAAUAAGACGGGGUCUCUACCCUCAUGGAUCAGUCUGGUGAAAGUGGUAAGCAGUCAAAUAUCCCAUAAAUAAGUAUGAAUCUGUGGCUGCUAUUAGAAGAAGUACAUGUUGCAAAGAGAAGAGAAGAAGAGAACUUAAUCUGUCAGAAAGAUCAAGAUGGUGUCUCCAAAUAAAUGAACCUUGAACCGAAGAUAUUCAAAGAAGUACUGAUGGGUUUAGGCCAUGCUACAUCAAAACAUGGCACCUUGGCAUUUGAGACGACAGCAGAAGUAGGAAAGUCCCUCUCAUCUUUCCUUACACUUUUCCCCUGAAGCAGGAGGUGCCCUCCCUGCACCUGGGGAAAGGGACAUGCUUAUCUCCAAAGACACAGGGACACAGAGAAGACUCUGAAGGCUGACACCUUGCUAAGUUCCCUGCAGUUAUUGCCGUUAGACCCCCAUUUUUCCAGUCCUACUUCUCCAUGGCUGUCAGCUUCAUCAAACCUGGCGUGCAAAAUACAUGGUUUUCUCUGUUUCUGUGGGUCCUUGUGAAGGCUCCCG